CCUACGGGAGGCAGCAGUGAGGAAUAUUGGUCAAUGGGCGGAAGCCUGAACCAGCCAAGUAGCGUGCGGGAUGAAGGCCCUACGGGUCGUAAACCGCUUUUGCACGGGGAUAAAACCCUCCACUUGUGGAGGUCUGCAGGUACCGUGCGAAUAAGGGCCGGCCAAUUCCGUGCAAGCAGCCGCGGUAAGACGGAAGGCCCGAGAGUUAUCCUGAUUCAUGGGGCGUAAAGGGAGCGUAGGCGGGCGUUCAAGUCAGCUGUAAAAUCGCGCGGCUCAACCGCGCCCCGCAUUUGAAACUGGACGCUGUGAGUUCACAACAGGCAGGCUGAAUUCGUGGUGUAGCGGUGACAUGCAU
rnacentral:rRNA from 1 species